rnacentral:tRNA from 1 species
AGAGAUAUGGCUUAGUGGUUAAAAGCCUAGCUAGUUGCUCUUCCGGAAGACCUGGGUUCAAUUCCCGAUAUCUUCA